UGGGGAAUCUUGCACAAUGGGCGAAAGCCUGAUGCAGCAACGCCGCGUGCGGGAAGAAGGCCCUAGGGUUGUAAACCGCUUUCAGUAGGGAAGCGGUACCUACAGAAGAAGGUGCGGCCAACUACGUGCCAGCAGCCGCGGUGACACGUAGGCACCAAGCGUUAUCCGGAUUUAUUGGGCGUAAAGAGCUCGUAGGCGGUUUGGUAAGUCGGGUGUGAAAACUCUGGGCUCAACCCAGAGAGGCCACUCGAUACUGCUAGACUAGAGUACGGUAGGGGAGCGGGGAAUUCAUGGUGUAGCGGUGAAAUGCGCAGAUAUCAUGAGGAACACCAGCGGCGAAGGCGCCGCUCUGGGCCGUAACUGACGCUGAGGAGCGAAAGCAUGGGUAGCAAACAGGAUUAGAUACCCCGGUAGU
rnacentral:rRNA from 1 species